rnacentral:misc_RNA from 1 species
GAUGAAGAACGUAGCGAAAUGCGAUAAGUAAUGUGAAUUGCAGAACUCAGUGAAUCAUCGAAUCUUUGAACGCACAUUGCGCCCCUUGGUAUCCCGAGGGGCAUGCCUGUUCGAGCGUCAUUUCACCACUCAAGCCUGGCUUGGUGUUGGGCGACGUCCCCUUUGGGGACGCGCCUCGAAACGCUCGGCGGCGUGGCACCGGCUUUAAGCGUAGCAGAAUCUUUCGCUUUGGAAGUCGGGGCCCCGUCUGCCGGAAGACCUACUCGCAAGGUUGACCUCGGAUCAGGCAGGGAUACCCGCUGAACUUAAGCAUAUCAAUAAGCGGAGGA